UACGUAGGGUGCAAGCGUUAAUCGGAAUUACUGGGCGUAAAGGGUGCGUAGGCGGUUUGGUAAGUCUGAUGUGAAAUCUAUGGGCUCAACUCAUAGUCUGCAUCGGAAACUGCCGGGCUUGAGUAUGGGAGAGGUGAGUGGAAUUCCUGGUGUAGCGGUGAAAUGCGCAGAUAUCAGGAGGAACACCGGUGGCGAAGGCGGGUCUCUGGGCCGAAACUGACGCUGAGGAGCGAAAGCGUGGGGAGCAAACAGG
rnacentral:rRNA from 1 species